rnacentral:rRNA from 1 species
GACGAACGCUGGCGGCGUGCCUAAUACAUGCAAGUCGAGCGGACCUCUUCGGGGGUCAGCGGCGGACGGGUGAGUAACACGUGGGCAACCUGCCUGUAAGACUGGGAUAACACCGGGAAACCGGUGCUAAUACCGGAUAAUCCUUUUCCUCACAUGAGGGGAAGCUGAAAGACGGCAUCUCGCUGUCACUUACAGAUGGGCCCGCGGCGCAUUAGCUAGUUGGUGGGGUAACGGCCCACCAAGGCGACGAUGCGUAGCCGACCUGAGAGGGUGAUCGGCCACACUGGGACUGAGACACGGCCCAGACUCCUACGGGAGGCAGCAGUAGGGAAUCUUCCGCAAUGGACGAAAGUCUGACGGAGCAACGCCGCGUGAGCGAAGAAGGCCUUCGGGUCGUAAAGCUCCGUUGUCAGGGAAGAACACGUACCGGAGUAACUGCCGGUACCUUGACGGUACCUGACCAGAAAGCCACGGCUAACUACGUGCCAGCCGCCGCAGUAAUAC